rnacentral:rRNA from 1 species
AAGUCGUAACAAGGUUUCCGUAGGUGAACCUGCGGAAGGAUCAUUACAGUAGUCACCCGGGUUGCCGCAAGGCCUCCCGGGUAACCUACCACCCUUUGUUUAUUACACUUUGUUGCUUUGGCAGGCCUGCCCUCGGGCUGCUGGCUCCGGCCGGCGAGCGUCUGCCAGAGGACCUAAACUCUGUUUGUCUAUACUGUCUGAGUACUAUAUAAUAGUUAAAACUUUCAACAACGGAUCUCUUGGUUCUGGCAUCGAUGAAGAACGCAGCGAAAUGCGAUAAGUAAUGUGAAUUGCAGAAUUCAGUGAAUCAUCGAAUCUUUGAACGCACAUUGCGCCCGCUAGUAUUCUAGCGGGCAUGCCUGUUCGAGCGUCAUUUCAGCCCUCAAGCACUGCUUGGUGUUGGGGUCCUACGGCUGCCGUAGACCCUGAAAGAAAGUGGCGGGCUCGCUGCAACUCCGAGCGUAGUAGAAUCCUAUCUCGCUAGGGAGGUGCGGCGUGUCCCGGCCGUUAAAGUCCCAUCUUUAACCCAAGGUUGACCUCGGAUCAGGUAGGAAUACCCGCUGAACUUAA